rnacentral:rRNA from 1 species
AGAGCGAACGCUGGCGGCAGGCCUAACACAUGCAAGUCGAACGAACUCUUCGGAGUUAGUGGCGGACGGGUGAGUAACACGUGGGAACGUGCCUUUAGGUUCGGAAUAACUCAGGGAAACUUGUGCUAAUACCGAAUGUGCCCUUCGGGGGAAAGAUUUAUCGCCUUUAGAGCGGCCCGCGUCUGAUUAGCUAGUUGGUGAGGUAAAGGCUCACCAAGGCGACGAUCAGUAGCUGGUCUGAGAGGAUGAUCAGCCACAUUGGGACUGAGACACGGCCCAAACUCCUACGGGAGGCAGCAGUGGGGAAUCUUGCGCAAUGGGCGAAAGCCUGACGCAGCCAUGCCGCGUGAAUGAUGAAGGUCUUAGGAUUGUAAAAUUCUUUCACCGGGGACGAUAAUGACGGUACCCGGAGAAGAAGCCCCGGCUAACUUCGUGCCAGCAGCCGCGGUAAUACGAAGGGGGCUAGCGUUGCUCGGAAUUACUGGGCGUAAAGGGAGCGUAGGCGGACAUUUAAGUCAGGGGUGAAAUCCCGGGGCUCAACCUCGGAAUUGCCUUUGAUACUGGGUGUCUUGAGUAUGAGAGAGGUGUGUGGAACUCCGAGUGUAGAGGUGAAAUUCGUAGAUAUUCGGAAGAACACCAGUGGCGAAGGCGACACACUGGCUCAUUACUGACGCUGAGGCUCGAAAGCGUGGGGAGCAAACAGGAUUAGAUACCCUGGUAGUCCACGCCGUAAACGAUGAUUGCUAGUUGUCGGGAUGCAUGCAUUUCGGUGACGCAGCUAACGC